rnacentral:rRNA from 1 species
AGGACGAACGCUGGCGGCGUGCUUAACACAUGCAAGUCGAACGGAAAGGCCCGCUUGCGGGUACUCGAGUGGCGAACGGGUGAGUAACACGUGGGCAACCUGCCCUCAGCUUCGGGAUAACACUUGGAAACAGGUGCUAAUACCGGAUAAUAACCUUUCAUCGCAUGGUGGUUGGUUCAAAGUUUUUCGGCUGAGGAUGGGCCCGCGGCCUAUCAGCUUGUUGGUGGGGUAAUGGCCUACCAAGGCGACGAUCGGUAGCUGGUCUGAGAGGACGAUCAGCCACACUGGGAUUGAGAACGGCCCAGACUCCUACGGGGGGCAGCAGUGAGGAAUUUUCCGCAAUGGGCGCAAGCCUGACGGAGCAACGCCGCGUGCAGGAAGACGGUUUUCGGAUCGUAAACUGCUUUUCUCGGGGACGAGAACGGACGGUACCCGAGGAAUCAGCCCCGGCUAACUACGUGCCAGCAGCCGC